CCGUGCAACCUUAAUAGUCAAUCGGUGAUAAUGGGCCCAUGACCCAUAUUGCGGCCCAUGUGGGCCACACGCUCGUAUGGCCCACAUAACCCAAGAUGGCCUUAUCAGUGUGACUCACGCAACCGACCCAACAUUAACCACACUCUUGUGUGAUUCUUCCCGUAUGGGGCCCAAAGGCCCAUUGGGCCUAUGUGGUCCAGUUCGGC
rnacentral:lncRNA from 1 species